UCCGAUUUACUGACCGCCAUCGACCGCGCCCACAGCCUCGCCGCCAACGGCGGCUCCGCCAUGGCCGCCCGCGACGCCCCCUCCUCCGAGUCGACUCUCCUCGACGCCGCCGCCGACGCCGCCGCCGCCGCCCACCUCGGGGACCCACCCGCGCCCCUCGCCGCCGCCGCCAGGACCGUCGACGACGUGUGGCGGGAGAUCGUCGCGGGCCAGAGGGUGGAGUGCAAGGAGGAAAUGCCGGACGAGAUG
rnacentral:lncRNA from 1 species